UACGGGGGGGGGCAAGCGUUGUUCGGAAUUACUGGGCGUAAAGGGCGCGUAGGCGGCCUUCUAAGUCAGACGUGAAAUCCCUCGGCUCAACCGAGGAACUGCGUCUGAUACUGGAAGGCUUGAAUCCGGGAGAGGGAUGUGGAAUUCCAGGUGGUAGCGGUGAAAUGCGCAGAUAUCAGGAGGAACACCGGUGGCGAAGGCGGUUCUCUGGGCAUGUCCUGACGCUGAGGAGCGAAAGUGUGGGGAGCGAACAGG
rnacentral:rRNA from 1 species